AACGAACGCUGGCGGCAUGCCUAACACAUGCAAGUCGAACGAGACCUUCGGGUCUAGUUGCGCACGGGUGCGUAACGCGUGGGAACCUGCCCUUAGGUUCGGAAUAACUCCCCGAAAGGGGUGCUAAUACCGGAUAAUGUCUUCGGACCAAAGAUUUAUCGCCUUUGGAUGGGCCCGCGUUGGAUUAGCUAGUUGGUAGGGUAAAAGCCUACCAAGGCGACGAUCCAUAGCUGGUCUGAGAGGAUGAUCAGCCACACUGGGACUGAGACACGGCCCAGACUCCUACGGGAGGCAGCAGUGGGGAAUAUUGGACAAUGGGGGAAGGCCUGAUCCAGCAAUGCCGCGUGAGUGAUGAAGGCCUUAGGGUUGUAAAGCUCUUUUACCCGGGAUGAUAAUGACAGUACCGGGAGAAUAAGCUCCGGCUAACUCCGUG
rnacentral:rRNA from 1 species